rnacentral:lncRNA from 1 species
AGGUGAUAAAGAUAUUUAAAGAUCAUAUUAGCAAACAGUGCAUCCUUGAUGAUUUUGAGUUCUAUGAGGAUCGUCAAAAGAGAAUUCAGGAAAAGAAGGCCAAGCAGCAGCUUUUCCAGAAGCAGGUAGAAUACAUGAACAUACACACACUCUAAAUUUCUGUCUAUGAAAUGAAUUAAAAAAAGAAAGAAAAGAUUAGGAUCAGGUGCUUUCGCUAGUGCAUUUAUGAAUAUAUACAAACACACACACAAAAAAAAAUUCCUGGCUAUGAAACGAAUUAAAAAGAAGAAGAAAAGAUUAUGAUCAGCUGCUUUCGCUAGUGCAUUUAGCAGUUAUCGAUAUCUUCGUAGUAGUUAUCUUCCUCUUGGUAGUAAAUAAUGC